rnacentral:rRNA from 1 species
AGUGAACGCUGGCGGUAGGCCUAACACAUGCAAGUCGAACGGCAGCACAGUAAGAGCUUGCUCUUACGGGUGGCGAGUGGCGGACGGGUGAGGAAUACAUCGGAAUCUACUUUUUCGUGGGGGAUAACGUAGGGAAACUUACGCUAAUACCGCAUACGACCUACGGGUGAAAGCAGGGGAUCUUCGGACCUUGCGCGAGUGAAUGAGCCGAUGUCGGAUUAGCUAGUUGGCGGGGUAAAGGCCCACCAAGGCGACGAUCCGUAGCUGGUCUGAGAGGAUGAUCAGCCACACUGGAACUGAGCCACGGUCCAGACUCCUACGCGAGGCAGCAGUGGGGAAUAUUGGACAAUGGGCGCAAGCCUGAUCCAGCCAUACCGCGUGGGUGAAGAAGGCCUUCGGGCUGUAAAGCCCUUUUGUUGGGAAAGAAAAGCAGCAGGUUAAUACCCCGCUGUUCUGACGGUACCCAAAGAAUAAGCACCGGCUAACUUCGUG